CAUCCCCCAGUGACCUACUUCCUUUACCUGGCCCCACCUCCUGACAGCCCAUCAGUAGAUUAAUCCACUGAUGAGGUUAAUGCCCGAUGAUCCAGUCACCUCUUAGUGGUGCCCCCAGAUGGAGACCAAGCCUUAAAUGGAAGUGUGAUAAGUCUUUUGAGGGACACUUUAUAUCCAAGCCACAACAGGCAUCCAUCUUCCCAGCUGCACUCCAACCCUGGAAGAUCCUGUGGAAAGUAAAUCAGUCUGAGUAAAACUGGAGUCAAGCUAAAGAACUCCACCAGGAAGAGAGGUCGGCAUAGGACAUCGUGAGUGUGGCCUUCAUGGUGGUGAUGCCCAAAGCUGCAGGUCCUCAGGGUCCCGAAGGGAUGCCAGGGCUGGGAAUUUGGGUGGAGCUCCAUUUCAGAGGUGAGUACAAGCUCUAAGCCUGCCCAGUCACGCACACACACCAUCCUCUGGAUCCACAGACCUGCCUCUGAGAGGAUUCACUUCUGGUACUUCUGUGAAAGAUGGUCCAGAAGAGAUGAUGAAGAUUGUAAGGACAUGUAUCCUGGGUCAUCAGCCACCAUUACACUGCCUUGGGAAGAGGUCCCGCCAACGUUGAAGACGGCCCAGAGAGAACAGAUCUGAGACAGAGAAAACAGUAGUGCAGCUGAGCACCGAGAUCCAGCCUUUGCUGAGGUCUGCAGACCCUGCGCUCACGUCAGUCAAGCUCCCUUCACUGCCUAAGCCAGCUUAAACUGCAAACCCACCACUUACAGUCUUGAGAAGGUCGGUGAGGAAAUACGUAAUGCCGAACAGCAAGCCAUGAUGCUCCCAUCCUCUUCUUAUCUUCGUUUUGAGUUGAAGAAGCAAGGACACCUUCUCCCUUUAGGCAUCUUAAGGUAACUGUCAGCCACCUGCCCAUUGUCCCUUACCACUCCUCUUCCAGCCUAGUCACAUACUUGGCACACACACCAGUCCCAGGGCCACCAGCUACAGGGCCACCAGCCACAUGCUCCUUCAAGUUGGCUUCACAGUUCCUCAAGUCAUGCCCCCAGCCUUCAGCUCCUGAACUUUCUGCACCAGGGUUUUCAGAAACCACUCAGGCCACGGGACAUGACUCUCUCCACAUGCCGGGGAUUCCGAUAGCAGCUGAGGCGUGAACUGACAGCUGAGGGAAAGCAGGGUCCCUCAGAGAGAUGGCUCAGUGGUUAAGAGCACAGGCUCCUCUUCCAGAAGACCCAGGUUUAGUUCUCAGCAUCCACACGGUGGCUAGCAGAUGUCUGUAACUCCAGUUCCGGGGAUCUGGUGCCAUCCUCAAGCCUUUACAGGCGCGGUCAUGCGUAUGGUGCACAUACAUACAUACA